ACUCCUACGGGAGGGCAGCAGUAGGGAAUCUUCCACAAUGGGCGCAAGCCUGAUGGAGCAACACCGCGUGAGUGAAGAAGGGUUUCGGCUCGUAAAGCUCUGUUGUUAAAGAAGAACACGUAUGAGAGUAACUGUUCAUACGUUGACGGUAUUUAACCAGAAAGUCACGGCUAACUACGUGCCAGCAGCGCGGUAAUACGUAGGUGGCAAGCGUUAUCCGGAUUUAUUGGGCGUAAAGAGAGUGCAGGCGGUUUUCUAAGUCUGAUGUGAAAGCCUUCGGCUUAACCGGAGAAGUGCAUCGGAAACUGGAUAACUUGAGUGCAGAAGAGGGUAGUGGAACUCCAUGUGUAGCGGUGGAAUGCGUAGAUAUAUGGAAGAACACCAGUGGCGAAGGCGGCUACCUGGUCUGCAACUGACGCUGAGACUCGAAAGCAUGGGGUAGCGAACAGGAUUAGAUACCCUGGUAGGAUAGCG
rnacentral:rRNA from 1 species